rnacentral:rRNA from 1 species
UACGUAGGGUCCGAGCGUUGUCCGGAAUUAUUGGGCGUAAAGGGCUCGUAGGCGGUUUGUCGCGUCGGGAGUGAAAACACGGGGCUUAACCCCGUGCCUGCUUCCGAUACGGGCAGACUAGAGGUAUGCAGGGGAGAACGGAAUUCCUGGUGUAGCGGUGAAAUGCGCAGAUAUCAGGAGGAACACCGGUGGCGAAGGCGGUUCUCUGGGCAUUACCUGACGCUGAGGCGCGAAAGCUAGGGGAGCGAACAGG